ACCAUUUGAUAUGGGAAAUGCCCGGGCAUGUGAGAGCAUUUUUCAUCUCUGAAGAGUUCAGUUUCAUUUGCUCUCCUCCUUCUGUGUUCCAAGCAGGCAGUGCAGAACGCUGUAUAAAUAGCCAAGCCUGUGCUACAUCCAGUUUGAGAUAUCCAGGCAUCCAGGAGGGGAAGGCACACGGCAGGGGGAAAGCACUGAGCAGCUUGCGAAACUAAAGAUGAUGUAUAUUUCAGACUCAAUCUCCUGAGCAAUCUUGGGAAGCUCGGAUGGAUUACAAUAAUACUUCAGCAAGGCUGGCUGGCAUCCGUAAAGAGCUGUCACUUACCAAGGAGGAUAAGAGCUGGAGAGAAUGUCAUUAUUUCCUUUCCACGUAAGAUAAAUGUGAAGGGCUGAUUCUGUGGACAGGAUGAGCAGCACUGCAAAAGACGAUGGCUUAAACUUUUAACAUCUCUUCCAAGUGGAAUAUCACAGAUCUCGGAAUGAAGAACCUCUCCAGGCUGAUUGGAAAUGGCAUUGCAGAGCUGAAACGUAACUGGAGGAAACAUACCUCUCAAUGAAGAAAGUACAAUGCACUUGAAAGCUCUGACUCCUGGUGAAGAAUUCAAGCCUAGAGAAAACUUGUCCGCUUGGCUGGGAAGGAUGGGUUGGACAAUCUUCACACAUUCCAAAGGGAAUCUGGAUGCCAUGCUGAGCUUAAUCUCUGCAGCAUGCUCGGUGAUUUUCUCCUCCUGAUGCAUUGCAUGGUUAGCCUGAGGAGAAGGAUUAAGAAACUGGCUACCAAGAUGGUAAUCACUAGUGGAAAUGAAGAAGAAAAAGGCAACCAGGAAAAGGAGAGCAAAGAGGAGUCUAUCCUGGCAAUGCUGGGCAUUAUCGGGACAAUCCUGAACCUUGUCGUGAUCAUUUUUGUGUACAUCUACACGACAUUGUGAGCCGCAGACGCAAAGCGGGGGAGACAGCUGACAAGAGGUGAUGGCAAACGUGGCCGGCUAUUGACACACGGCUUAAUGAGAAUUGACUCUGUAGUAUAUUAAGACGUCAUAAAAGCUCUGCCUGAGGGCGUUGGAGGUUGAAGCACAAUUAAUUGAACAAGACUUUUUUCACACAGUUACAAGCAAAACUCGCAUCUCUCUCUCUCUCUCUCUCUCUCUUUCUCUCUCUGUUCUAGAGAAAUGAGUGCAAAUCUGUAAGUAUCAGCUUUGGACAGGGGGUCAAGGGAAAACCCCCCCACUAUGGAUAAAACUUUUCAAUACAGCCAAAGACUGGACACUAUUAUAAACAGUGACAAAUAUAUAGCAUAUCUGUGCCAAGUUACGUUCCAUGCCCAUUAGUCCGCGUCUUCUCUUCUCUCCUUUCUUUGAUUUACAUCGAAGCUAGCAAGCUUUUCUUUCACUCGCUCUUUGUUUUUCCAGUUUUUAACUUAAAAUGAACAUAUGGUGCAAUCACAAGGUAGGGGGGAGGGGAACCAGCUACUCCGCUGAGCUGCCUGUGCUACCAAAGGGUAAAAUCUUGAGCAAAGUAAGGUUACCUGACGUUCCUUUUCUCUCUCGGUUGCUUGACAUCUGUGUCUGUUCAAACCGAUGUUUAUAAAUAUAUAUUUUUAAUAAAUGUGCUAUAUUUUUAGC